rnacentral:rRNA from 1 species
CUGACUGCUAUCGGAUUGAUACUAAGCCAUGCGAGUCUUUGUAGUAAUACAAGGCAUACGGCUCAGUAACACGUAGUCAACCUACCCUAUGGACGAGAAUAAUCUCGGGAAACUGAGCAUAAUUCUUGAUAGAUCAUAAUGCCUGGAAUGGUUUAUGGUUAAAAUGAUUCGUCGCCAUAGGAUGGGACUGCGGCCUAUCAGCUUGUUGGUGAGGUAAUGGCCCACCAAGGCGAUUACAGGUACGGGCUCUGAGAGGAGAAGCCCGGAGAUGGGUACUGAGACACGGACCCAGGCCCUAUGGGGCGCAGCAGGCGAGAAAACUUUGCAAUGUGCGAAAGCACGACAAGGUUAAUCCGAGUGGUUUCUGCUAAAGGAACCUUUUGUUAGUCCUAAAAACACUAACGAAUAAGGGGUGGGCAAGUUCUGGUGUCAGCCGCCGCGGUAAAACCAGCACCUCAAGUGGUCAGGAUGAUUAUUGGGCCUAAAGCAUCCGUAGCCUGCUCUGUAAGUUUUCGGUUAAAUCCAUGUGCUCAACGCAUGGGCUGCCGAAAAUACUGCAUAGCUAGGGAGUGGGAGAGGUAGACGGUACUCAGUAGGAAGGGGUAAAAUCCUUUGAUCUAUUGAUGACCACCUGUGGCGAAGGCGGUCUACCAGAACACGUUCGACGGUGAGGGAUGAAAGCUGGGGGAGCAAACCGGAUUAGAUACCCGGGUAGUCCCAGCUGUAAACGAUGCAGACUCGAUGAUGCAUUGGCAUAAUAGCCAGUGCAGUGUCGCAGGGAAGCCGUUAAGUCUGCCGCCUGGGAAGUACGUACGCAAGUAUGAAACUUAAAGGAAUUGGCGGGGGAGCACCACAAGGGGUGAAGCCUGCGGUUCAAU